AGAAUCAACGCUGGCGGCGUGCCUAACACAUGCAAGUCGAACGAGAAAGUGGAGCAAUCCAUGAGUAAAGUGGCGACCGGGUGAGUAACACGUGACUAACCUACCCUAGAGUGGGGAAUAACUUCGGGAAACCGAGGCUAAUACCGCAUAACAUCGCAGAGGGAAGCUCUUUGCGAUCAAAGGAGCAAUUCGCUCAAGGAGGGGGUCGCGGCUGAUUAGUUAGUUGGUGAGGUAACGGCUCACCAAGACUUAGAUCAGUAUCCGGCCUGAGAGGGCGCACGGACACACUGGAACUGAAACACGGUCCAGACUCCUACGGGAGGCAGCAGUGGGGAAUUUUGCGCAAUGGGGAAACCUGACGCAGCAACGCCGCGUGGAGGAUGAAGUCCCUUGGGAUGUAAACUCCUUUCGAUCGGGACGAUUAUGACGGUACCGGAAGAAGAAGCACCGGCUAACUCUGCGCCAGCAGCCGCGGUAA
rnacentral:rRNA from 1 species